rnacentral:rRNA from 1 species
AAAUUGAAGAGUUUGAUCAUGGCUCAGAUUGAACGCUGGCGGCAGGCCUAACACAUGCAAGUCGAACGGUAACAGGAAGCAGCUUGCUGCUUCGCUGACGAGUGGCGGACGGGUGAGUAAUGUCUGGGAAACUGCCUGAUGGAGGGGGAUAACUACUGGAAACGGUAGCUAAUACCGCAUAACGUCGCAAGACCAAAGAGGGGGACCUUCGGGCCUCUUGCCAUCGGAUGUGCCCAGAUGGGAUUAGCUAGUAGGUGGGGUAACGGCUCACCUAGGCGACGAUCCCUAGCUGGUCUGAGAGGAUGACCAGCCACACUGGAACUGAGACACGGUCCAGACUCCUACGGGAGGCAGCAGUGGGGAAUAUUGCACAAUGGGCGCAAGCCUGAUGCAGCCAUGCCGCGUGUAUGAAGAAGGCCUUCGGGUUGUAAAGUACUUUCAGCGGGGAGGAAGGGAGUAAAGUUAAUACCUUUGCUCAUUGACGUUACCCGCAGAAGAAGCACCGGCUAACUCCGUGCCAGCAGCCGCGGUAAUACGGAGGGUGCAAGCGUUAAUCGGAAUUACUGGGCGUAAAGCGCACGCAGGCGGUUUGUUAAGUCAGAUGUGAAAUCCCCGGGCUCAACCUGGGAACUGCAUCUGAUACUGGCAAGCUUGAGUCUCGUAGAGGGGGGUAGAAUUCCAGGUGUAGCGGUGAAAUGCGUAGAGAUCUGGAGGAAUACCGGUGGCGAAGGCGGCCCCCUGGACGAAGACUGACGCUCAGGUGCGAAAGCGUGGGGAGCAAACAGGAUUAGAUACCCUGAUAGUCCACGCCGUAAACGAUGUCGACUUGGAGGUUGUGCCCUUGAGGCGUGGCUUCCGGAGCUAACGCGUUAAGUCGACCGCCUGGGGAGUACGGCCGCAAGGUUAAAACUCAAAUGAAUUGACGGGGGCCCGCACAAGCGGUGGAGCAUGUGGUUUAAUUCGAUGCAACGCGAAGAACCUUACCUGGUCUUGACAUCCACGGAAGUUUUCAGAGAUGAGAAUGUGCCUUCGGGAACCGUGAGACAGGUGCUGCAUGGCUGUCGUCAGCUCGUGUUGUGAAAUGUUGGGUUAAGUCCCGCAACGAGCGCAACCCUUAUCCUUUGUUGCCAGCGGUCCGGCCGGGAACUCAAAGGAGACUGCCAGUGAUAAACUGGAGGAAGGUGGGGAUGACGUCAAGUCAUCAUGGCCCUUACGACCAGGGCUACACACGUGCUACAAUGGCGCAUACAAAGAGAAGCGACCUCGCGAGAGCAAGCGGACCUCAUAAAGUGCGUCGUAGUCCGGAUUGGAGUCUGCAACUCGACUCCAUGAAGUCGGAAUCGCUAGUAAUCGUGGAUCAGAAUGCCACGGUGAAUACGUUCCCGGGCCUUGUACACACCGCCCGUCACACCAUGGGAGUGGGUUGCAAAAGAAGUAGGUAGCUUAACCUUCGGGAGGGCGCUUACCACUUUGUGAUUCAUGACUGGGGUGAAGUCGUAACAAGGUAACCGUAGGGGAACCUGCGGUUGGAUCACCUCCUUA